rnacentral:rRNA from 1 species
UUGUGCCUACGGGGGGCAGCAGUGAGGAAUAUUGGUCAAUGGCCGAGAGGCUGAACCAGCCAAGUCGCGUGAGGGAUGACGGCCCUACGGGUUGUAAACCUCUUUUGUCGGGGAGCAAAGAGAGUCACGUGUGGCUCAUUGAGAGUACCCGAAGAAAAAGCAUCGGCUAACUCCGUGCCCGCAGCCGCGGUAAUACGGAGGAUGCGCGCGUUAUCCGGCUUUAUUGGGUUUAUAGGGUGCGCAGGCUGAGUUGCAAGUCAGUGGUCAAAUUGCGGGGCUCAACCCCGUACUGCCUUU